CCUACGGGAGGCAGCAGUAGGGAAUAUUGGACAAUGGACGCAAGUCUGAUCCAGCCAUCCCGCGUGAAGGAUUAAGGCCCUAUGGGUUGUAAACUUCUUUUCUUUGGGAAUAAAAAGCGGUAUUCAUAUCGCCUUGAAGGUACCAGAGGAAUAAGCACCGGCUAACUCCGUGCCAGCAGCCGCGGUAAUACGGAGGGUGCAAGCGUUAUCCGGAUUCACUGGGUUUAAAGGGUGCGUAGGUGGCUUUGUAAGUCAGCGGUGAAAGCCUGGAGCUCAACUCCAGAAUUGCCAUUGAUACUGCAGAGCUUGAAUCAAGUUGAGGUGGAUGGAAUAUUACAUGUAGCGGUGAAAUGCUUAGAUAUGUAAUAGAACACCGAUUGCGAAGGCAGUUCACUAAGCUUGUAUUGACACUGAGGCACGAAAGCGUGGGGAUCAAACAGGAUUAGAUACCCUGGUAGUCCACGCCCUAAACGAUGCAAACUCGACAUUAGCGAUAUACAGUUAGUGUCCAAGCGAAAGCGUUAAGUUUGCCACCUGGGAAGUACGACCGCAAGUUGAAACUCAAAGGAAUUGACGGNNGAGAGAGACGACGACGACGACGAGGGAGGAGG
rnacentral:rRNA from 1 species